rnacentral:rRNA from 1 species
GAUGAACGCUAGCGAUAGGCUUAACACAUGCAAGUCGAGGGGCGGCAUGGUCUUAGCUUGCUAAGACUGAUGGCGACCGGCGCACGGGUGCGUAACGCGUAUGCAACUUGCCUCACAGAGGGGGAUAACCCGUCGAAAGACGGACUAAUACCGCGUACACUUGGGAUAGGGCAUCCUGACCCAAGGAAAUGAAAUUCGCUGUGAGAUAGGCAUGCGUCCCAUUAGCUAGUUGGUGAGGUAACGGCUCACCAAGGCGACGAUGGGUAGGGGAACUGAGAGGUUGAACCCCCACACUGGUACUGAGACACGGACCAGACUCCUACGGGAGGCAGCAGUGAGGAAUAUUGGUCAAUGGGCGAGAGCCUGAACCAGCCAAGUCGCGUGAAGGAUGACUGUCUUAUGGAUUGUAAACUUCUUUUAUACGGGAAUAACAAGAGCCACGUGUGGCUCCCUGCAUGUACCGUAUGAAUAAGCAUCGGCUAACUCCGUG